rnacentral:lncRNA from 1 species
UUUCCAUGUCUAUAUUUUUUACUGACAAGUCCCACAUCAAAUAUAUCAGUUCAUAGCUUUUGACCCAUACUAUCAUUGUAUGAUAGUCAAUUUAUGAGAAGAAUGCAACAUCAAAAAUGUUCAACCCUUACACUUAACAGCAACUAUAAAAUAUACAUGCCCCACGUCACGAACCGUUUAAAAAGUGCAUUUUACACUUAUUUCAUGUUUUAUAGCCAUAAAAAGGUCCCAAAUUUUUUUUU